rnacentral:rRNA from 1 species
UACGUAGGGGGCUAGCGUUGUCCGGAUUUAUUGGGCGUAAAGAGCGUGUAGGCGGCCAUGUAGGUCCGGUGUGAAAACUCGAGGCUUAACCUCGAGAUGUCAUCGGAAACCAUUUGGCUAGAGUCCGGAAGAGGAGAGUGGAAUUCCUGGUGUAGCGGUGAAAUGCGCAGAUAUCAGGAAGAACACCAAUGGCGAAAGCAGCUCUCUGGGACGGUACUGACGCCGAGACGCGAAAGCGUGGGGAGCGAACAGG